rnacentral:rRNA from 1 species
UGGUCAAGGAUGGACUCGCGGCCUAUCAGCUUGUUGGUGAGGUAAUGGCUCACCAAGGCGACGACGGGUAGCCGGCCUGAGAGGGUGACCGGCCACACUGGGACUGAGACACGGCCCAGACUCCUACGGGAGGCAGCAGUGGGGAAUAUUGCACAAUGGGCGCAAGCCUGAUGCAGCAACGCCGCGUGAGGGAUGACGGCCUUCGGGUUGUAAACCUCUUUUAGUAGGGAAGAAGCGAAAGUGACGGUACCUGCAGAAAAAGCACCGGCUAACUACGUGCCAGCAGCCGCGGUAAUACGUAGGGUGCAAGCGUUGUCCGGAAUUAUUGGGCGUAAAGAGCUCGUAGGCGGUUUGUCGCGUCUGCUGUGAAAACUGGAGGCUCAACCUCCAGCCUGCAGUGGGUACGGGCAGACUAGAGUGCGGUAGGGGAGAUUGGAAUUCCUGGUGUAGCGGUGGAAUGCGCAGAUAUCAGGAGGAACACCGAUGGCGAAGGCAGAUCUCUGGGCCGUAACUGACGCUGAGGAGCGAAAGCGUGGGGAGCGAACAGGAUUAGAUACCCUGGUAGUCCACGCCGUAAACGUUGGGAACUAGAUGUGGGGACCAUUCCACGGUCUCCGUGUCGCAGCU